rnacentral:rRNA from 1 species
UAUUUUAGUCUUAUUAGAGGAACCUGUUUUUUAAUUGAUAAUCCACGAUUAAUUUUACUUAUUUUAAAUAAUUCAUAUAUCGCUGUCAUGAAUAUAUUUAAAAAUUUAUUUUCUUUAUUUAUUAUUAUAAUUUAUGUUAAGUCAAGAUGUGGUUAAUAAAUAAGUAUAUAAUGGGUUACAUUAAAUUUUAUUUUUGGAUUUUAAAUGAAAAUUAAAAUGAAAUUGGAUUUAAUAGUAAAUUUAUUUAUUUAAUUAAUAUGAANAAAGAUCUAAAAUAUGUACAUAUUGCCCGUCAUUCUUAUUAAAAAUAAGACAAGUCGUAACAAAGUAAGUGUACUGGAAAGUGUAUUUAGAAAGAUAUUUAAUAUAAA